UGGGUGUCUAGUUUCCUGCUGGCAAGGCUGCUAGUUCUGAUGACCCAACAAUCACCUGGAGAACUUGCUUAAAACUUUAUCUAGUAAACACAUAGAGACACAGAUGUAGCUUCCAGCUCCUCCCUGGAGAUUCUAAAUAGAAGCUGAAGGAUUCCUGUGGCAAAUUAUUGACUCACUGGCAUGGAACUUAAACCAGGAGGCCCCGCUUGUUAAUCCGGUUCACAGCUGACAUCCGGUUUCACCCCUUAGUAGGUGAUAACCACCCCUAUCUGUCUGGGAUUGUUUGGGUUUUAAUGCUGAAAAUACUAUUCUGGGCAACCCCUUAGACCCAGGCAACCCAGGGUAUUUGGUGACUCUGCCUCAAGUAAACUAGAAACCAGCUUGCAUUGUUAGCACCUGUCUUGGAAUUAUUUAGCCAUUUUUGCAAGUCCAGGUGCACCAUUCACCUGGCAGGGGUGUCAUGCAUCCUGGGAUCCUCAGCCUCAUGUGUUCGUUCUCUGGACCCCAUAUAGUACCUUGUUCUCAAUGUUCUCUUCUUUAGUGUUUAUCAAAAAAGCCAGUUUAUUCUCUCCCUGGCUUCCAAGCAUCUAAUCUCUUGCCUAGCAGUCUCACAUGUCUGAAAGUCCUAUAUUCUCUAAAUCAAAAUUCUGUGACUUUUUCAUUAUCCUUAGCCAAAUAGGCCAGACUGGGAUUAAAUCAUCUUUGUAAUUACAUUGUAUUUGCAUUUUUAAUGUACAAUUUGCAUGACAAUUGUUUAUGCCUCAGUCACAUUGGUUCUGAUUUUAUCCACGAGUAAGGGGACUCGUGGGCUGAGCGUGGGCAGUCAUUGGCCCUUGCCACAGGCAGGGCAGGUUGGUGGGCCCCUGGUGAGUGCCUUCCUGCCACCUUCCUCACCUCGUGGGUUUCUGGCUUGCUGCCAGCAUCACCCCGCAAUGCCCAGCUCCUUGUGCUCCCUUCUCUUGGGACUUCCCUUGUGACUCAGCUGGUAAAGAAUCUGCCUGCAAUGCAGGAGACCUCAGUUCAAUUCCUGGGUCAGGAAGAUCCCCUGGAGAAGGAAAAGUCUACCCACUCCAGUAUUCUGGCCUAGAGAAUUCCAUUAACUGUAUAGUCCACGGGGUUGCAAAGAGUCAGACACAGCUGAGCGAUUUUCAAGAAGAAGGGGACUAUAAUAGGAAAAUCCUGGGGGCUCAUGGUCAGAAAAGCUGACUCCAAAUUCUGGCCUUGAUCUUUACAUGCUCAGCAACCUUACAGCAACCAGUAUGAUGUGACACAUGGUGCUAUGGGUUGAAUUGUGCUCAGUCAUUCAGUUGUAUACAACUCUUUGUGACCCUAUGGACCAUAGUCCUCCAGGUUCCUCUGUCCAUGGGGUUUUCCAGGCAAGAAUACAGGAGAGGCUUCCCAUUUCCUGCUCUAAAAGGUUUAAUUGCAUUCCCCCAAAUUCAUAUGUAGAAGUUCUAAGCCCCAACAUGAUGGGAAUGUGAUCUUCUUUGGAAAUAGGGUCAAUGCAGAUGUAACUAGUAAAGACAAGUUCAUGCUGAAGUAGAAUGGGCCUCUAAUCCAGUGUGACUGGUGUCAUUAUAAAAGGGAAAUUUGGAGACAGGAACACAUAAGGAGAAUGCCUUGUGAAGACUGGAGUUUAUGCAAUCACACGUUAAAAAACUACCAGAAGGUAAUUAGUGAGAGACCCAGAAUAGAGUCUUUCCUAGAGCCUUCAGAGGGAGUGUGGCCCUGGUGAUACGUUGAUCUCGGACUUCUAGCCUCCAGAACUACAAGGCAACAAGGUUUCGUUAUUUUAAGCAGCUCAGUGCGUGGUACUUCGUUAUAGCAGCCGUAGCAAACUAAUACAGAUGGUAACAUCUGCUUCAGAGGAUUUUUCCAAUGGUUAAACAUUUGAUUAUUCAUGUGAAAGUACUUGGUAUAUCAGAGUCAUUAAUGAAUAAUAGGAAAAUACAGGGUGGUGGGUUACCAGGAAAUUACAGCUUUCAGUGUCGGGAUUCAAACUCCUUUUCCUGCUCUGUUACAAUUUAGCUGACAACAGCAAAUCAAUUCAACCUCUCAUCUCUUUGAUCCUUAUUUUCUCAUAUGUAAAAUGCACAUAAUGGCACAGACUUCAUAGGAUACUUUCGAUGAUUAGGUAAAAUAAUGUAUGAAAGUGUAUUAACCAGAUUUAUAAGCAAGGCGACAUGGUUUUUGCCCUUGCGAUGUAAAAGGCACAAAACUUUAAGCCUCUUCUUUCAGCAGCAUCCCCCACCUGUGCCUCCUUAGCCCAAAGUCUGAGGCCAAGAGUGAUGACAGCUGAUGGAUGAAUGAGCCUGAGAUCCUGCCAACCCUUUGUGUUUGGGGACCCAUAAGGACUACCCUUUCAUUUCUCCCUCCCUGCCCACCCUCCCAUUUGAGGACAAGUUUCUUGCUUCUUUUCCUCAGGAUCAAAAGAACUAUAACUCUAAUAGCUAAACCCCCUUUCUUUUCUUUUUUGGAAGAAACAAUCUGAUAGCUAUAAUUAUUCCUGCAGACUCGAUUAUUUUCACAGAAAUUAAAUAUGUCUGUGGUAGUACUUCAAUAGAUCAAUGUGUUUGUUACACUAUCAAAAUAACUUUUUCCCCCCUGCUAUGUUGAAGAAAUGAACAAUUGAGUGCCAGAUUGCAAAACUGAGGUUUUGUUUAAUAUUUACUGCUAGCUGGCACAUUUGCUCUCAGAAAAAAAAAAAAGAAAAAGCACAGAGCAACGCCAUUUGUAUCCUAUAAAACCCAUGAUAACAAUUCAUGUGCAAACCCUCCCCCUGGAUUAAGCAUAUAAUAUUGGUAAUGAAAUAUUAGCUCCAAAAUGAAUGUCUAUGGCCUUAAAAUAUAAAUGCCCUUUGACCCAGUAAAUCUACUGGCAGAAAUUUUUCCUGAGGAAAGAAAUGUUCAAGUGUUCAACUUUGCAAAGGUUUGUAUAUCAAGGAUAUGGGCUUAUCUCAGAGAUACUGAUGACUCAGUUCUAGAUCCUGCAAUAAAGUGAGUCACAGAAAUUUUUUGGUUUCCCGAUGCAUAUAAAAUUUAUGUUCGUAUUGUACUGUAGUCUACCAAGUGUGCAGUGAGAUUAUGUCCAAACAAACAUUGCUUUUUAAUAUACCAUAUUUGAUAUGCCUUAACUGAUAGUUUAAGGUAUAUAACUUAAGUACUUUAUUGCUAAAAAAUGCUAACCAUCAUCUGAGCCUUCAGAGAGUUGUAAGCUUUUUGCAAUAGUAACAUGAAAUAUCACUGACCACAAAUCACCAUAACAAAUGUAACUAUGAUGAAAAAGUUCGAAGUCUUGCACACAUUAUCAAAAUAUGACACAGAGACAAGAAGUAAGCAAAUGGUGUUGGAAAAAAUGGUGCCAAUAGACUUACUUGACAUAGCUUCCACAAAUCUUCAAUUUGUAAAAAACAUAAUAUCUGCAAAGCUCAAUAAAACAAGGUAUGCCUGUGUUCAGCAGAGAUUAUUUGUAAUAUAUUUUCUUAAAAGUCCUAAAUUUCAGUAUUUGAGAUUGGUCCAAUACAGUGUGGUUUAUCUUAUUAACUGCAUAUUGUCUAACUAUUAAUAGUGGAAAAAUAGAUUUCUAUUGAGAUGAGGAAACUCUUAAGUGAGCAAGUUACAAAACAAUAUGUAAAAUAUUAUUCAAGUUUUCGGCUAAAUGUUUAAAUGUAUAUGGAGAGAGUAUAUAUAUGAGAAAAGAAGAAAAGGGGCAUUCACUAAAAUAUUAAUAGUAGUUCAGAGUAGAAAUACUGUUUUUUAUAUUGCUCUUUAUGGAUUUCUAUUUUUAUUUUUUAAGUGAGUAUGCUUUAUCUUUAUAAUCAGAAAGGAUUAUUAAAGCUUUAUUAGCCUAGAAACCUUAAGGGGAAUUAGUUUCAAUCAAAGGAAGCAGUAGGCUAUAGCAUUUCCCAAACCAUGUCUUGAAAUAUGUGGUAGGAAUUCUUCAAAGCAAGGGUUCCCUUGUGAAAUAAGUUUAGAAAACAUCUUUCUUGUUCCCUCUCUUUCUCAGUUUCACAAUGAAAAUUAGUAGCAACAGCAAAUAAUUACCUUAACUUGAUUUGAUCAUAAAGCAUCAUUUUUUUCUUGUUUCACCUCUUAAUAAUAUCCCCUGCUAGUUAAGUGCUUUGAGACACUCAGUUUGGGUGGAAAACACUGUUUAAAGCAGGAAUCUUUUUAGCCUCCAUUAAUCAAUUUGGAGGGAUAGAGGAGACAUUUGCUGUUUCUGUAUCUGCAUGCAUUCUCCAUAUUCCUAAUUCCCAACAGCAACCAGACUCACCUUUGUAAAACCAAUCUUCCCUACUAAGGGCUGUGUGAAUGGGGGCCAGGGGUAUAAAUCAGUAACAUGACAUCCAUCCUUUAACCACAGUGGAUGAGCGAUGGGUAAUAAUCCUUAGCCUAAUCCACCCAUAGCAUUUCCCCAACCACAGUCAGUGAUAAAGGUGAGUUCCAUUGGGUCAGAAAUUAGGACAUUUGUUGAAUAACUGUGCUAAGUAUCGUGCUAACAGUCCCUGGACAUGAAAACACAGAGCACCAGUAACUCUGAGAGCAGCCAUCUUGUGACCACGAGGAGCAAAGCCAGCCUUAGAAAAAAUUGUAUCUGAUGCCUGGCACACUUCCGGCCAAUAAAUCUCCUUUCAGUUUGGAUUUGUUUUUCUAUUACUUCCAAAUGAACAGCUUUUGAUUCAGGAGACUCAAGAAGAACUUCAAUGAAAUAACUAAGGCUAAUCAAAUGCCUUAAAAUUAUAGUUCAUAUGGGCCCAGUUAAUCUAUGCCUCACUCACCUGUCCAAUUCCACAGCAUCCUUUCCAUUAUGCAAAUGUUAUAUUUUAUAUCAUAUGUAUAUAUUCACAUUUCCUUACUUUUAAUUGUCCUAGAAUACAUAUCCACAUCUCACCUGGAGAUUGGGAAGUCAGGGAUAUCAAAGUUUCCUCACUGGUUCUCCUCCCUAUGGCUGGCCAAAGCCCACAUCCCUGGAAUGAAUCCCACCAUAGUGGCAGUCCAGCAAGGAAUGGUAGCCAUCUCACUAGGUAUUAUCCUCAUGCAUCAGUGAAAGUGCCAGAGAGUUAUAGCAUCAGAUCCAUAAGCAAUUUGCCAUCCAUCAGUGUCUCUUCCUAUUUUUUUUUUUUUUUAUUACCUACUGCUUCCUGGGCUGUUACUGAAUCCAUACCAUAGGAUGUCUGAAAAGUACAAAUAAUCUAAUAGAAAAUGAAAGUUUCAAAUGGAUACACUACCCUCCUUGACUUAGGUUUCUUUCCAGCAAUUUCCAUCUCAUAAGUCAAGUGACUUCUGACACAAAUGAUGUCAUAAAAUCACCAGGAAGAACUUGCCUGAGAAUUUAAUUGGAAAUAUCAACCAAAGAAGCAUCCAUAUUGUACCUAUAAACCAUGUCCCAAAAGGCUUGAGAGCCUAUCUCCUGGUACAGUGUAAAGUUUCUAUUGACAAAUGGAUUUUACAUACACAUAAGUGUGGCUGGAUAUGAAAGGCUGUUUGACUCUGCAUACUCGAGUAAAAGCAGUCCAGAAACAACAGAUAUCACCCUGGAAACAAGUCACUAUAGGGUUGGGAGGAGACAUAUAAAGGGUGAGUCAUAUUCUUCAUGGACUUGAUAUGAAGUUGAGGAUAAAACCUAUGUUAAUCUUUUUUUUAAAAAAAAAUCAAAGUAAGGGCCUUCUGAUAAUAAAUGCAUGAAAUAGAGGCCAAAUAUCCUAGACAGGUGCUAUGCUCUCAAAUGCAGACAUACACCACUAGUUCCCACCACCAAAUAAACUUAAGCCACAGUUCUCCCUGCUCUAUGAAGCUGAAACAGAGUCAGAGUUUGAACGUCAUUUGUUUACAAUCGGUGGUCACCCCAGAUCAGGGUUUUUCAACCUAAUCAGUGUUGACAUUUCGGAUAAGAUAAUUCUCUGCUGUGAGGGGCUGUCCUGUGUGUUCUAGGAUAGUUAGCAGCAUCUCUGGCUUCUGCACUAGAUCCCAAUAGCUUCUUCUCAAUUGAGUCAACCAAAACACGUCUCUAGACAUUGCCUAACGACCCCUGAAGGCAAAAUACCUCAGAUUGAGAACCAAUACACUGUAUUAUUCUUAUUGUGGUUGCUUUGUCCUCUCUCACUUUAGUUAACUGGGAGCAGUUCCCCCCAGAAUUCCUUCUUUGGUAUGUUUCCAGGUUGGGAAUGAGUACAAGAGGCAU